AAAAUUAUGAAAUUAUUACUAACUUCUUUUUUUCUUUUUAGCCAAAGGAAAUCAGCCUAAUUUGAAGGGUAAUAUAAAGAUAAGCCAGUCUAUGAAGUCUCAAGGUUUAAUAUGGGUGCACAAUUUCAUUUCAUACUAAUCGGUCAUCUUUGUUACGUUGGAAAGCAGACUUCUGGAAUCAGCCUCACUUGGUUGGUGCAUGACAGCUCCGCUAACCAGACCUUCACCCGGCUUAUGGAGACCCAGAACAAGAAGGAGCAGAGACUGUGCCCCAGAAGCCUCAGUGUGGCAGCACAAGGCAACAGGUAGAAGAGUGAUUCUCCUGCUUAACACCCAAGACAGCAUGUUUUGCUCUGAGUUCAAGACUACUGCUGCAACACCAGGUGUGAACUUCUAGCAAAGAGAAAACCCCAAGAACUGGAGCCACUGCUUUAGCAGUAGACUAAUUAAACUAUAUCAACUCUUGGAGAGAGUUGAUAUAAAAAUGAAAGUGAUGGUGAAAGGUUUAAAAAACAACCUGAAAAUGGACCAUGAGAGAUGGAAACCAAGGUCUGUUUAUUAAGAAAACUCAUGUAGGAUCUACAAUUAUUUCUCUAUAACAGUUCAGCAGACUGCAGAACACCAAAACAAGAGCACUUUGUUGGCAGCUUCAGAUGUAACAAAAUGUAGGAGAGAGCUUUCUACUGGAAGCUAAAAUGAACUUAUCUGUAAAAUACCUACUGGAAUGAAAGGUGGAAGAUACCAACUCACUUCUUAUAGUUUUAUGUAAUAUUGUUCCUUGUUAACAACCUUGAAGGGUCUGAACCUGCAACUGUAUGUCAAUGUAAGUCUCAAGAAUGUCAAGUUUUCCUGCUGUCUUUUACAAGCAGACAAUAUAUGGAGGUGGAGCUUCUUUAUGGAUAGGCCACUUAUUUUUACAGAAUAAGAGGAAAGCUCACAAGAUUGUGAGGAGAUUAAUUAUUUAAAAGAUUUACAAAGAUUUACAGAGAUUAAUGAGAUUAAAUUACUGUUGCUGUUCAGAUCCCCUUUUGAUUUCCUUUUGGUUUUCCUUUUUGAUUUCCUUUUGACUUUCCCAGUGCUCUCUGGUUCUAUAAAGGCCAGCCUCUGUUUGAGAGAUGUAAAACUAUAAACAAGGUCAAGUGCAGAGAAGUACAAUAUUUUUAUUUUGUUAUGCCCUAAAAUACAGAUGGAGUUAGAUUUCUGUUUCACCUCAAAUAUUUUAGCAGUGUUAAUGUAAAACACAAAGUCAUUCAGUCAUAUCCAGAGAGAUGUAAGGAAGAUCAUGAGUGAUUGCAGUAAGGAGUUAAUCCACUGUAAUUAUACCUGUAGGGUCAGAAUGACACCCAUCAAUUUAAGACUCCACAUUUACUAUUUUCAAGAAGUAAAAUUUCUUAUUAAAAAAUCCAUCCAUUCAUAAUUUAUAAGGAUCCAGUGGUCCUUACCUGUCCUCCUGAAUCACUGUUAAAUUUUACCCACUAAUAUGAUUCCUUCACAGGUGUGAUGGAAUAGCCCUGAAAUAGAGUAAAAAGGUUUUUUUGUAAAAAGUUUUCAAGAACUCAGGAUUGAGGCUUGUCAUGUCUAUCUUGUUGGAAGGUUUCUUAACCUGCCUGUAGCUUUGUGUUACUUGUUUUAGAUCUGACAACAAUUUUUUCACAUAGACCAGGUGUUUCUGGCUAUUUGGUUUACUUUUGUUUUUCUUUCUCUGUUGCAGCCACUGUUAUAUAUAGGUAGCAGUAAUAAGCAGUUGCUCUAUGCAGAAUGAGAUAUUUAUGAUUCUGGAGUGGAAUUCCCUGUUGCCCUGAGAAUCAGGCCCUCAAUAUUGUUUUUCUACAAGUUCUCACCAUUUUCCCAGGAAAGUAACUAUAAACAUAGGUGUUUAUACAUUCCAUUAAAGAUAUGCCUUUUGAUGGACAUCUCUCACUGCCAGUGUGGUUGGGAAGGUGUUAACCUGACUAUCCAAUCCCUGGUCAUAGUCAGAAACCUAUAAAUACUGAAAGAAAAAAUAAAGUUGGCUAUUUCUUUCA
ensembl:lncRNA